CUAUCAAGUUUUCAUGCUCAAUUACUCCCACUUUAGGUGGAACAUUCAAUGACGCAUGAUCAAAUCGUGCAACGUCUAUCAGCAAACAAUAAAGUUAAACGGUAUAAAAAUGGAAGCUGAACGACAAAACAUCAAAUAGGAAAGGCUUGGAAGUGAACGUAAUCCUAUAGCAAUUUCAACGAAGCGUAUGUCUCACUCUAUAUCGUACAUACAAUUUCCUCGUACGUAAGAAGUGUUUACGAAUACUUCGAUCUAUUUCGACAACGCGUUCCAGUCAACAUUUCGCACAAUUUUAUAAUACAUUAAUAAUAAUAAUAAAUAAAAUACGUAAUUUUUUUCUUA